UACGUAGGGGGCAAGCGUUGUCCGGAAUUACUGGGCGUAAAGCGUGCGUAGGUGGUUUUUUAAGUCCGUUGUGAAAGCCCUGGGCUCAACCUGGGAAUGGCAGUGGAUACUGGAAAGCUAGAGUGCGGUAGAGGGUAGUGGAAUUCCCGGUGUAGCAGUGAAAUGCGUAGAGAUCGGGAGGAACACCAGUGGCGAAGGCGGCUACCUGGACCAGCACUGACACUGAGGCACGAAAGCGUGGGGAGCAAACAGG
rnacentral:rRNA from 1 species